rnacentral:rRNA from 1 species
GAUGAACGCUGGCGGCGUGCCUAAUACAUGCAAGUCGAACGCUUUGUGGUUCAACUGAUUUGAAGAGCUUGCUCAGAUAUGACGAUGGACAUUGCAAAGAGUGGCGAACGGGUGAGUAACACGUGGGAAACCUACCUCUUAGCAGGGGAUAACAUUUGGAAACAGAUGCUAAUACCGUAUAACAAUAGCAACCGCAUGGUUGCUACUUAAAAGAUGGUUCUGCUAUCACUAAGAGAUGGUCCCGCGGUGCAUUAGUUAGUUGGUGAGGUAAUGGCUCACCAAGACGAUGAUGCAUAGCCGAGUUGAGAGACUGAUCGGCCACAAUGGGACUGAGACACGGCCCAUACUCCUACGGGAGGCAGCAGUAGGGAAUCUUCCACAAUGGGCGAAAGCCUGAUGGAGCAACGCCGCGUGUGUGAUGAAGGGUUUCGGCUCGUAAAACACUGUUGUAAGAGAAGAAUGACAUUGAGAGUAACUGUUCAAUGUGUGACGGUAUCUUACCAGAAAGGAACGGCUAAAUACGUGCCAGCAGCCGCGGUAAUACGUAUGUUCCAAGCGUUAUCCGGAUUUAUUGGGCGUAAAGCGAGCGCAGACGGUUAUUUAAGUCUGAAGUGAAAGCCCUCAGCUCAACUGAGGAAUUGCUUUGGAAACUGGAUGACUUGAGUGCAGUAGAGGAAAGUGGAACUCCAUGUGUA